CAUGAUGUUAUUAGUGACUUAACACUCCCUUAAUGUCGACUUUUCAAUUAUAAUCGCGGCUGCAUUAACCAUUAACAUGAAUUUAAUUAUCAACGGAAUCUUUGAGAUGUUCAGUUUCCACUGAAGUCCGACAUUAAUUCUUGGCUAGCUGUUUGCUACUUCCCUAGCAUAAAGCUCUUCCAGUCGAGACUCAUCAUGUGGUCAUGGAUUUUAGCCAGGACUGAGACAGAGAAUUCACUGCAGUUGGAGAGUAAACUCGUGGCUGUUGCUGUGGCUCGACUGGGAACAUAGUCAUGCUGACUGGCAGCUCUGUGUAAAGUCAGAUGUUCUGGCUCACACGCAACCAAACCUCACUGUACUCAACCACAGAUUCCUGCACUG